rnacentral:lncRNA from 1 species
UGGGUAUGCGCCACUGUGGUAAUGGACUCUGGAACAGAUGGGAUCUGCGGGAUCCUGGUCCAGCUUGGGGUAGGGUGGGGAGGGGAGGUUCUCUGAGGAAGGAAGGCCUUCUCUGAGGAUUUUAGUGUUGCAGCUCUUGUAGGUGAUACUCAAUGAAACAGCUCUCUUAGAGAAUCUUCAGUAAAAUAGCUGCUGUGCAUACACUGUAUACAAGGGCUACAUAUGAACCUUGGAGAGUGGAGAUUUCUGGGUGAAUAUAAAAGGCGAUGGCUGAAGCUUAAGUCCUGUGAAUGCCUCAUUUGUCUGGAGAUGCGUUCCGAGAAUCUCAGGUUCAUCCUUGUCGUAGCAUCCUUCCUUAAUGGAUGAGUGACCUUCUGCUGUGUGGAUCACCUCAUUGUGCCUGUCCAUUCAUCUGCUGAUAGACACUGGGUUAUUCUCACCUUUGACUUGAAUCUUGCUGCUGUGAACACUGAUGUACAAGCAGAUAUCCCAGUCCCUGCUUUCAGCUUGAGUAAACUCCUCCAGGUAAACAGGCUGAGCCCGAUAGUAGUUAUGACUAACUUUGUGAGGAAUGACCAAACAUGGUAGCACCAUUUCACCUUCCCAUCAGCCAUGUAUGAGUUCCAAUUUCCCUGCAUACCCACCAACCAUUGUACAAAAUUAUCCUCUGAGUUAAACUGCCACCACCUUUGGGAGUUCAGUUGGACCUGCUUGGAAGAGAUCAUCCCAGCUGUGCUUAUUGGCUUUUGAACUUCUCUCAUAAAAAGAUGGGACAGAGAGGGUCGUGGGACCCACCCUGAGUAUCUAGCCACCUCUCUCAAAGACUUGUAUAUAAUUUUGCCCUAAAUGUUUUUGGCCUCUGGGGUCUUGGGAAAGGGCUAGAGCAUAUAGAUGGAGAAGGACUAGAAGACGGGAUGUCCUCUCUAUGUGAAAAAGACGCCAUCCCCGCUGGGUAUUUAGUACAGCUCUUGUGGGGGUGGGGGGCAUGCUCCUUAAAGUAACUCCUCACCUACACUAUUGUAAGUAAACCCGUUGCUUACUGCAAGAAGCCAAAUAAACUUACUGGCACGCUAAACUGAACUUUGGUGGCAUAUACUUUGGUCUGGUUUUAGGACCUUUGGUGGUCCCAAUAUGCUUAGCCUAGGAAGUGGCACUAUUUGGAGGUGUGGCCUUGUUGGAGUAGGUAUGUCAUUGUGGGCAUUGGCUUUAAGAAUCUUGUCCUUGCUGCCGGGAAGCUAGUCUUCUCCUAACAGACUUGAGAUGAAGAUGUAGAACUCUCAGCUCCUUCUGCACCAGACCUGCCUUGAUGCUGCCAUGUUCCUGCCUUGAUAACAAGCUGAACCUGAAGGCAGCCCCAAUUAAAUGUUGCUCUUAGAAGAGUUGCCUUGGUCAUGGUAUCUGUUCACAGCAGUAAAACCAACUGAGACAAGACCUUUGAGAAAUGGAGAGACCUUGUUUAUGUCUUCUCCAGGAAGUGACAUCAACACUUGUUAUUGCCUACCAUUAAAAUCACAUCUAUUUUGGAAAGGAGCAAUGGCAUCUCGUUAAGAUAUUAAUUACAAUAACCGGCUCACUAAUACUGUUGAGCUUCUUAUAUAUGUCCUUUGGAGAAAUGUCUCUAUAAUGUGUCCCCCCACUUUUAAGUUGAGUUGAUUUGGGUGAGUGUAUAAGCUCUUUAUACAUGUAAAUAGUAACAACUUAUCAGAUAUAGGACUGGCAAAUAUUGUCUGUCAGUCUGUGGGUAUCUUUUCACUCGUUUAAAAAAGGAAUAUCACCAAUUUAAAUGGGAGGGAAUCUCAUCUGGAAAUGAAGAAGAAUGCAUGAAAGAGAUAAGAAAAUAAAGUGUAAAAAAAAAAAAGCAGCAAGAACGAAUGCAGUCAUCACACAAAUGUGAAGCCACAGAGCUUGCCAGAGUCCAGGCUUGCCGGUUACUGUCAGAGCCAUGUGACCUCUGCUUCAGUUACUCUGAACUGCUAAAAUUGAGCACCAGUAGUAGUUUCCAGGAAAGCUUCUGAGUCACACAUGCCUAGGCUUGAAUUCCAGUUGGGCCAUUUAUUACCUGUGGGUGGGACAUAGUAUUUUAUCAGCUGAAACGUCAAUCUUGCUAGCUUUGUAGUGAUUGAAGGAAAUCAAUGUAUAGAGAAUGCACUUGGGACACACAGAACUUAAUCUCUGUUAGCUCUGAGGCCCAUUGCUGUACUUCAUGAACAUGCUUCAUGUGCUGAGGUUGUCAGCUAAGCUGUGCCCACAUCACUGAUUCACGGACUACGACAACAAAAGGUUUUAAGUUCCAAAACUUGGCGGUGAUUUGUUACACAGCUUGCUAACACACUUUGCAAACUGGUGAAUGGGAGAAAUCCUAGGACACAGUGGUGCUAGGUGGUAUCUGCAGGGUGCUUAGUGAAUGGUAUUCCAAAUAGAAUCACAGCAUUCUUCAAGUGCUAAGCUGAGGUUUACAGAUGCUAUGCAGCUUGGAAAACCAGAGCUGAGAAUGCGGCUUUAUGCACGGCUCUAGUACAAGCCACGUUCACAGAGGCAAAUUGUUGCACUGAUAUCGUCCAUAUUUUUUCUGAUGAUUUUUGUUUCCUAGUAAAGGUCAGGAUGUCGAAGGCAGUGAGAGAGAGCCUCAGAGGGCACGCAGUGUCCCUUUGAUGUCUUUUUAUUCAUGUGCUGGAAGUUUUGAAAAAGAAAACUUAACAUAUCGCAGACAUGCAUGCGCAGGAGGGAGACAAGCUAAGCUAGCAUAUGGGUGCUAGGUGGUGAGGCUCCACGGACCCAGAUGCUUCUGUCAAAGCACACGCGGGCUUGCCGUUCAUUCGUUCGCCUCUUUCCAGCCUGUCGCUGGUCCCAACAUGUUUCCAGGACGGUAGCUUUGUCAUUUGCUGGCACCCUUUUCUCCUUGUCCUGACGUUCGCUGCGUUUUUUUUUUUUUAUAUUAUUAACUUUUCUAUAGUCUUUCUUCUUCCAUUGUUUUAUAUGUGUGUGUUUGCAGGUGUUUUCCUUUGAACAUUUAAAGCAGAAUUAGAUGUUGACAUCCAAUAAUGUCUAAAUAUCUAUUCAAGGAGAAAAGACCUCUCCACACUACACUCUCCUCCCCAGCUCUCCUGUUAGUGCUUUCUGAAAUGCUGGUUCCAGUUUGUUUUUAAACUCAAAAUUGCUAAUAGUGUAUU